AGUGAACGCUGGCGGUAGGCCUAACACAUGCAAGUCGAACGGCAGCACAGUAAGAGCUUGCUCUUACGGGUGGCGAGUGGCGGACGGGUGAGGAAUACAUCGGAAUCUACUUUUUCGUGGGGGAUAACGUAGGGAAACUUACGCUAAUACCGCAUACGACCUACGGGUGAAAGCAGGGGAUCUUCGGACCUUGCGCGAUUGAAUGAGCCGAUGUCGGAUUAGCUAGUUGGCGGGGUAAAGGCCCACCAAGGCGACGAUCCGUAGCUGGUCUGAGAGGAUGGUCGGCCACACUGGAACUGAGACACGGUCCAGACGCCUACGGGAGGCAGCAGUGGGGAAUAUUGGACAAUGGGCGCAAGCCUGAUCCAGCCAUACCGCGUGGGUGAAGAAGGCCUUCGGGUUGUAAAGCCCUUUUGUUGGGAAAGAAAAGCAGCAGGUUAAUACCCAGCUGUUCUGACGGUACCCAAAGAAUAAGCACCGGCUAACUUCGUG
rnacentral:rRNA from 1 species